UACGUAGGGUGCAAGCGUUGUCCGGAAUUAUUGGGCGUAAAGAGCUCGUAGGUGGUUUGUCGCGUUGUUCGUGAAAUCUCACGGCUUAACUGUGAGCGUGCGGGCGAUACGGGCAGACUGGAGUACUGCAGGGGAGACUGGAAUUCCUGGUGUAGCGGUGGAAUGCGCAGAUAUCAGGAGGAACACCAAUGGCGAAGGCAGCUCACUGGGACGGUACUGACGCUGAGACGCGAAAGCGUGGGGAGCAAACAGG
rnacentral:rRNA from 1 species